rnacentral:rRNA from 1 species
GUGUCAGCAGCCGCGGUAAUACGGAAGGGGCUAGCGUUGUUCGGAAUCACUGGGCGUAAAGCGCGCGUAGGCGGCUCUGCAAGUGCGGCGUGAAAGUCCUGGGCUCAACCUGGGGACGGCGCUGCGGACUGUUGGGCUAGAGUCCGGAAGAGGGUGGUGGAAUUCCGAGUGUAGAGGUGAAAUUCGUAGAUAUUCGGAGGAACACCGGUGGCGAAGGCGGCCACCUGGUCCGGCACUGACGCUGAAGCGCGAAAGCGUGGGGAGCAAACAGGAUUAGAUACCCUAGUAGUCC